rnacentral:tRNA from 1 species
GGCCUUGCUAGCUCAAUGGCUAGAGCGUGAGACUUUUAAUCUCAAGGUUGCGGGUUCGACCCCCGCGUAGGGCUU